CAUUGUGGGUAAGGGAACCAGGCAGUGUAGCCUUUUGGCUUCACGCCGGGAUCCCUACUGCGCAUGUGCGAGGCCCCGCUUUCCUCUCAUUAGCCCAGCGGCCAUGGUAGGAGGGAGCCCCGUUGUGACGUUGCAGCCAGACUCCCAUAAGUGGGAAAGGAUACCUGUCAAAGACGGACAUCCUGCCCCCUCCCCCAGAAAGGUGCCAAUUGUGUCACUGGAGGGGUCAGAUGAGCAGAAGUUCCACUUUAGGGUGGAGCUCCGCAUUAACCUAGUCUGCAAACCUAAUAUUUAUUCAGGAUAUAGGUCCAGCAGUUUGUGCAGAACUUUAAACUUCUCCUCUCCUGUAACAGAAUGUUGUGGCUGGAGUUCUACUUUACACUUUCAAGUUUUGGUUAUCUUGAUCAAUUAUUGGUAUUCCUGGUAGACUUCCCCAACCUCCUCAAUUUCUAUCUUGGAGACCUCCAGAGUAUAACUGCACUCUGAGAUGAGUUUUCGCUCUAGAGGGCUUUUUCUACAUUCUCCUUUGAAGAACUCACUAGGAAGCCAGUUGCUGUCACUUGGACAGGAAGAGAAGGGGGGAAAGGGGGUCCACAACAGGGACACACAUUGCAGUAAGAGAAGGGAGAAAGGGGGUCCACAACAGGGACACACAUUGCAGUAAGAGAAGGGAGAAAGGGGGUCCACAACAGGGACACACAUUGCAGUAAGAGAAGGGGGGGAAAGGGGGUCCACAACAGGGACACACAUUGCAGUAAGAGAAGGGGGGAAAGGGGGUCCACAACAGGGACACACAUUGCAGUAAGAGAAGGGGGGAAAGGGGGUCCACAACAGGGACACACAUUGCAGUAAGAGAAGGGGGUCCACAACAGGGACACACAUUGCAGUAAAGACUUCAGAGACUUUCAUUUGGCAUUUACAUUUUAGUAUACUGGACUUUUCAGCAUUAAAAAAUUGUAAAUAAGACUUAGACUGAAAAUUUAUAGUGAUGACACUUCUUUUAUAGCAGUGAUCUAUCUGACCCUUGUAUCCUAUACCAGUGUUGGACAAAAAUCUAUUAAAUGUAUGUAUUGGUAUGUUUUCAGUCAUUGCAUCAGGGAUAAACAACCUUAGAACUCCAGUUGUGAUGGAUACAAAUGCCAUGAGCCAUUGCAAGACGUCGACAGCCAUAGGCAUGACUCCUGUAGGCAGUGGCAUGAUGGGAUUUGUAGUUUUAUCACAGCUGGAGUGCUGUGCCCUGCCUUACAUUUUACCUUACCGUGUUUCAUUAGGCUUAUCUAUAAAAAUGCAUCUCUUAAUAACGGUGACCAUUGCACAGUUCAAAAAUAGCACUUAUUAUGGUAGAUGAUGGAGUUAGAUGCAGAAUGAGCCUUAUUUUAGGGUUAAUUUGUCAAUGUAGUAGUUUCAUUCUAUUUCGGUCUGCCCUGUUACCGACAUUGGUUUCUAUGGUGAUACGUGUGGUUUAGAGAGAAUCAUUCAUUUUGUAGAAUUUGCAGAGAAGGGGUUAUUUUUUUGGUUUCUGAAGACUAAUUUUUCCUGUCCAAAAUUUCAUGUACUGUGAGAUCAUUUUGAUUUUUUUUUUAUUGUUUUUUUUUUUUUCAUA